AGGAUGAACGCUAGCUACAGGCUUAACACAUGCAAGUCGAGGGGCACCGUGGUCUUAACUUGCUCAGGCCGAUGGCGACCGGCGCACGGGUGAAUAACACAUAUCCAACCUGCCGUCUACUCUUGGACAGCCUUCUGAAAGGAUGAUUAAUACAAGAUGGCAUCAUGAGUCCGCAUGUUCACAUGAUUAAAGGUAUUCCGGUACACGAUGGGGAUGCGUUCCACUUAUAUAGAAAGCGGGGUAACGGCCCACCUAGUCUUCGAUGGAUAGAGGUUCUGACAGGAAGGUCCCCCACAAUUGGAACUGAGACACGGACCACAACUCCUACGGUAGGCAGCAAUGAGGAAUAUUGGUCAAUGGGCGAGAGCCUGAACCACCCAAGUAGCGUGAACGAUGACUGCCCUAUGGGUUGUAAACUUCUUUUAUAAAGGAAUAAAGUCGGGUAUGCAUACCCGUUUGCAUGUACUUUAUGAAUAAUGAUCGGCUAACUCCGUGCCAGCACCCGCGGUAAUACCGAGGAUCCGAGCGUUAUCCGGAUUUAUUGCGUUUAAAGGGAGCGUAGAUGGAUGUUUAAGUCAGGUGCGAAACUUUGCGACUCCUCCGUAAAAUUGCAGUUGAUACUGGAUAUCUUGAGUGCAGUUGAGGCAGGCGGAAUUCGUGGUGUAGCGGUGAAAUGCUUAGAUAUCACGAAGAACUCCGAUUGCGAAGGCAGCCUGCUAAGCUGCAACUGACAUUGAGGCUCGAAAGUGUGGGUAUCAAACAGGAUUAGAUACCCUGGUAGUCCACACGGUAAACGAUGAAUACUCGCUGUUUGCGAUAUACAGCAAGCGGCCAAGCGAAAGCGUUAAGUAUUCCACCUGGGGAGUACGCCGGCAACGGUGAAACUCAAAGGAAUUGACGGGGGCCCGCACAAGCGGAGGAACAUGUGGUUUAAUUCGAUGAUACGCGAGGAACCUUACCCGGGCUUAAAUUGCAGAUGAAUUACGGUGAAAGCCGUAAGCCGCAAGGCAUCUGUGAAGGUGCUGCAUGGUUGUCGUCAGCUCGUGCCGUGAGGUGUCGGCUUAAGUGCCAUAACGAGCGCAACCCUUGUUGUCAGUUACUAACAGGUUCCGCUGAGGACUCUGACAAGACUGCCAUCGUAAGAUGUGAGGAAGGUGGGGAUGACGUCAAAUCAGCACGGCCCUUACGUCCGGGGCUACACACGUGUUACAAUGGGGGGUACAGAGGGCCGCUACCACGCGAGUGGAUGCCAAUCCCAAAAACCUCUCUCAGUUCGGACUGGAGUCUGCAACCCGACUCCACGAAGCUGGAUUCGCUAGUAAUCGCGCAUCAGCCACGGCGCGGUGAAUACGUUCCCGGGCCUUGUACACACCGCCCGUCAAGCCAUGGGAGCCGGGGGUACCUGAAGUGCGUAACCGCGAGGAGCGCCCUAGGGUAAAACUGGUGACUGGGGC
rnacentral:rRNA from 1 species